GGGUCGAUGAUGAGAACCUUAUAUUGUCCUGAAGAGAGGUGAUGACUUAAAAAUCAUUCUCAAAAGGAUUAUUCUGAGGCCU
ensembl:snoRNA SNORD115 Small nucleolar RNA SNORD115